rnacentral:rRNA from 1 species
AGGAAUAUUGGUCAAUGGACGAGAGUCUGAACCAGCCAAGUAGCGUGAAGGAUGAAGGUUCUAUGGAUUGUAAACUUCUUUUAUACGGGAAUAAACGGAUCCACGUGUGGAUUUUUGCAUGUACCGUAUGAAUAAGGAUCGGCUAACUCCGUGCCAGCAGCCGCGGUAAUACGGAGGAUCCGAGCGUUAUCCGGAUUUAUUGGGUUUAAAGGGAGCGUAGAUGGGUUGUUAAGUCAGUUGUGAAAGUUUGCGGCUCAACCGUAAAAUUGCAAUUGAUACUGGCAGUCUUGAGUACAGUUGAGGUAGACGGAAUUCGUGGUGUAGCGGUGAAAUGCUUAGAUAUCACGAAGAACUCCGAUUGCGAAGGCAGCUUACUAACCUGUAACUGACAUUGAUGCUCGAAAGUGUGGGUAUCAAACAGGAUUAGAUACCCUGGUAGUCCACACGGUAAACGAUGAAUACUCGCUGUAGGCGAUAUACAGUCUGCGGCCAAGCGAAAGCAUUAAGUAUUCCACCUGGGGAGUACGCCGGCAACGGUGAAACUCAAAGGAAUUGACGGGGGCCCGCACAAGCGGAGGAACAUGUGGUUUAAUUCGAUGAUACGCGAGGAACCUUACCCGGGCUUAAAUUGCAGAUGAAUUACGGUGAAAGCCGUAAGCCGCAAGGCAUCUGUGAAGGUGCUGCAUGGUUGUCGUCAGCUCGUGCCGUGAGGUGUCGGCUUAAGUGCCAUAACGAGCGCAACCCUUGUUGUCAGUUACUAACAGGUCAUGCUGAGGACUCUGACAAGACUGCCAUCGUAAGAUGUGAGGAAGGUGGGGACGACGUCAAAUCAGCACGGCCCUUACGUCCGGGGCUACACACGUGUUACAAUGGGGGGUACAGAGGGCCGCUACCACGCGAGUGGAUGCCAAUCCCAAAAACCUCUCUCAGUUCGGACUGGAGUCUGCAACCCGACUCCACGAAGCUGGAUUCGCUAGUAAUCGCGCAUCAGCCACGGCGCGGUGAAUACGUUCCCG